ensembl:lncRNA
UUAACUUCUGGUUAGUGGACGCUAAUCAGCUCCAGAAGAUGGUGGUGGAGACUGCCUAAGCCUUAGGCUUUUGGGGGAUGACCUCACAGAAAAGAAUGCAACAUGAAUCUUGAAAGCUGAAAAGACUUUAUUCAGCCCAUCAUUCUUUGUGGGCUUUCUUAUCAGCAUCUAGGGUCAGGAGGGAGGUGGACAGUGGCAAUUUAGAUUCUGUUUGACCACUGUCACAACUCAAGAAAAUGUCUGGAUGAUUUUUUAUCAAAUUUACAGGGUAUAUUUAGGGUAAUAGAACUUAAAAUGCAACCUAUGGGAGGUGUGUAGAAUUUACUUCAUGGGCCCAUGGGAACACUUUGAUGCAAGCAGUCCUUCCCUGGAGAAGCUGAAGCUGAGACAUUAUUAAGAGUCCCAUGGUGGACCAUGUCUGAAGACACAGGUACCGUGGACUUGUGGGCACUAGUGUUAAAGAACCCACCUGCCAAUGCAGGAGACAUAAGAGAUGCAAGUUUCAUCCCUGGGUUGGGAAGAUCCCCUGGAGUAAGAAAUGACAACGCACUCCAGUAUUCUUGCCUGGAGAAUCCCAUGAGCAGAGGAGACUGGAACUGAUUGAGCUGUUAUGGCUGUCGGGGGCCCUGUUUGACCUUUCCUGUGACUUGCUGAGUCUGUUUCUCUAUGAGCCCAGCUCAGCCUCAUCUUACUGAGUCCCCAGCAAAGGUCACAAGAGCUUCAGCAGCUUCAGUCCCUGCCAUCUGCCCACCAGAAUCCACCUACAGCUCAAGAACCAUGUGUGUGCAGCCUCAGGGGUUCAACAUUUGUUUCUCCUGCUUUCUCUACCAUGAGCCAGGUCUUCUGAUUAAUGAACCGUAUUUGCACCUAUUACAUCCUGUGGAAACUGGGUCUUGGGCCAGCAGAGGCCAUUUCAGGGACCAGUUUUCAAAGCUGGGCUAGUACUCUCCAGCCUGAGGAUUAAAAAGCCAUUCCUGUCCCCUUCUUCACAAAGG